UGCAGAGUGGUGCAGCGGAAGUGUGAUGGACCCAUAACCCAGAGGUCGAUGGAUAGAAACCGUCCUCUACUU